CCUACGGGUGGCAGCAGUGGGGAAUAUUGCACAAUGGGCGCAAGCCUGAUGCAGCCAUGCCGCGUGUGUGAAGAAGGCCUUCGGGUUGUAAAGCACUUUCAGCGGGGAGGAAGGCGGUGAGGUUAAUAACCUCAUCGAUUGACGUUACCCGCAGAAGAAGCACCGGCUAACUCCGUGCCAGCAGCCGCGGUAAUACGGAGGGUGCAAGCGUUAAUCGGAAUUACUGGGCGUAAAGCGCACGCAGGCGGUCUGUCAAGUCGGAUGUGAAAUCCCCGGGCUCAACCUGGAACUGCAUUCGAAACUGGCAGGCUAGAGUCUUGUAGAGGGGGGUAGAAUUCCAGGUGUAGCGGUGAAAUGCGUAGAGAUCUGGAGGAAUACCGGUGGCGAAGGCGGCCCCCUGGACAAAGACUGACGCUCAGGUGCGAAAGCGUGGGGAGCAAACAGGAUUAGAUACCCGAGUAGUC
rnacentral:rRNA from 1 species